rnacentral:rRNA from 1 species
GGGUCAGUAGGUUGGUCGUGCCACCGGUACGUACUGGUCCCACUGAUUCCUCCUUCCUGAAGAACCGUAAUGCCAUUAAUUCGGUGUUGCGGGGAAACAGGACUGUUACUUUGAAAAAAUUAGAGUGUUUAAAGCAAGCUAACGCUUGAAUACAUUAGCAUGGAAUAAUGAAAUAGGACGAUCGAUCCUAUUUUGUUGGCUUCUAGGAUUGACGUA